AUUGAACGCUGGCGGCAUGCCUAACACAUGCAAGUCGAACGGCAGCGCGGGGAAGCUUGCUUCCCUGGCGGCGAGUGGCGGACGGGUGAGUAACGCGUAGGAAUCUGCCCUAAAGCGGGGGACAACCCGGGGAAACUCGGGCUAAUACCGCAUAAUCUCUACGGAGCAAAGAAGGCCUCUGUUUCAAGCUUUCACUUUAGGAGGAGCCUGCGUCAGAUUAGCUUGUUGGUGGGGUAAAGGCCUACCAAGGCGACGAUCUGUAGCUGGUCUGAGAGGACGAACAGCCACACUGGGACUGAGACACGGCCCAGACUCCUACGGGAGGCAGCAGUGGGGAAUAUUGGACAAUGGGCGAAAGCCUGAUCCAGCAAUGCCGCGUGUGUGAAGAAGGCCCUUGGGUUGUAAAGCACUUUCAGUUGGGAGGAAAUGCCGUAUGUUAAUACCAUGCGGAGUUGACGUUACCUUCAAAAGAAGCACCGGCUAACUCUG
rnacentral:rRNA from 1 species